rnacentral:misc_RNA from 1 species
UGCAGACUAACAGGGAGAAGCUGAUUCUUUGCGUGACAGAGAAAUUGAGACGCCUAAGAUCAAUAGAGACUAUAAAGCUUCUUGUACUGCGCUGAGUAGAACCCAGCAUCUGAAAAUUAUGGCACCGGGUCUUCUACGUUGUCGUCAGUUGAAAUCCUCUUUGGAAACCCUAGAGCGAGAAAGAGAAGGUGAGAAGGUUUGUUAAGAGAAGUAAAGGUUUUAUUCAAUGAUCAAUCCAUGUCAGGAGAGAGAGAACAGGGGAGGG